CGGUACGUAGCUCAAUCAGGAGAGCGCCCGGCUUGAGUCCGGGAGGGAGCGGGGGCGGGACCCGCCGUACCGG
rnacentral:tRNA from 2 species